UCCUUGUCCUUGUCCCUAGAUCUGCUGAAGUUCCUCCAGAGAGAUGAUCCAUUUCAUUUCCUCCCCCCAUUUCCCAACCAUUGGGAGGUUUGAAAAACUUAAACCCUCUGGUAGUCACCUUGUACCUCAGAACAUGGACAACCCAAAAGUGGAAAGAGGAAACACUGAAAACAGGAAAAUAUGUGUGAUAUCUAUAGAACAGCAGAUACGUAACUCACUGAGCAGCUGAAGAAUUAAAUCAGAGUGUCUGAGACUUACAGAACGUCACUGGCAAGGAUCUUCCUAGUAAUGACAGGACUCUCAAAGGAACCAAAGAAUGGAGAAUCCAGCAUGGAACUAAGUCAGCUGUCCUAGAGUAGCCCUACACCUCGUCUGAACCAGUAAUAUUAGGGAUAUAUUGGCCAACAUGAUAUUUACAACAU